UUCGCAAUGCCCGAAAGGGUGACGAAGCGACGCCGCGUGUGGGAAGAAGGCCUUCGGGUUGUAAACCACUGUCGGGAGUUAAGAAAUGCAAGGAUAUUAAUAGUGUCUUUGUUUGACUAAGGCUCCGGAGGAAGCCACGGCUAACUCUGUGCCAGCAGCCGCGGUAAUACAGAGGCGGCAAGCGUUGUUCGGAAUUAUUGGGCGUAAAGAGCACGUAGGCGGCUAUGUAAGUCGGUUGUGAAAGCCUUCCGCUCAACGGAAGAACAGCAUCCGAUACUACAUGGCUUGAGUGCGGGAGGGGAGAGUGGAACUUCUGGUGGAGCGGUGAAAUGCGUAGAUAUCAGAAGGAACGCCGGCGGCGAAAGCGGCUCUCUGGCCCAUAACUGACGCUGAGUGUGCGAAAGCUAGGGGAGCAAACGGGAUUAGAUACCCCGGUAGUUCUAGCCGUAAACGAUGGGCACUAAGUAGAGGGGUUUU
rnacentral:rRNA from 1 species